UUAUGAUAUCUACAGACAGAUUUCACGAUGCAUGACAGAAAGGGGCCAUGGCUGGGACACGUUGCAGUGCAGGGUCAAAGGGAAGGCAUUGUGGAAUGCCUACCACAAGGCACGGGAGGCAAACCGCCACUCCAGCACUGUGCCCACGAGCUGCCCGUUCUACAAAGAGCUGGUACUCAGUGGCGACCCCACCUCCACUGUGAAGGCCACUGUGCAUACUUCGGUGGACGGAGUCAGGAGGAGGAAUCUUGAACGAGGAUGUGAAGAGGGAGGGGAACACAGAGGUAGAGGACGAUUUAGAGGUCAGAGAUGCAGGCAGCCGGGAGCUCUUUUCUACCCUGGAGGAGGCUAGCCAGUCACAGCUAUCGGAUCUUGGCAAAGCACAAACAGGAGAGGAGGCCCCUGAGUUGACCGAGGGAGCCCAGCCUCCCUCUUUAUCAUCGCUGGCUGAAUUAGAAAGAGGCGCAGAAUUAGAAAGAGGCCACAGAGAACUAAGGAGGACUUUCUGCGUGAGGUUAUGAUGCACUUCACCGCUGAAAAGCGGGAAUUGAAGGAAUGGCAGUACUGUGAGAAGAGCGACUGAAAGGAGAACGCGGCACGCCAGAAUGAAGCCAUGGAGUGACUCUUAAAUGUUAUGGAGCGCCAAACGGACACACUCCAGGCGAUACUAGCACUGCAAACCGAGCAGCUCUGCGCCCACCCUCCACUGCAGCCUCUGUCGCAAAACUCUUCCUAUGCACCCCCCAGACACCACCAAAACACUCUUAUCAACCUCCUGUCUCCAGUCUGUACCUAUGGCAUUCCACUCCUCUCCUGUCACGGUCUGGCACUGCAGAUUCCCAGUACCCACUGCAUUCAACACCCAUCCCUCUGCAGUUUCGCCCUGUUGAAAUACAGUACCUGCUGCACAUACUCCAAAGGAGAAGGUUGGAUAUGAUCCCUGGACAUACAUAAAUCUUUAAAUGUCCCUGGACCCCACCUUCUCCCGAGACCUUCUCUUCCCCUAUCCCCCUCAGUGCUGAUGUGUUUUUUUUGUUUGUCUCUCUCUUCUAAUUGUUGUUUUUAAUAAAAGAAUUGUGUUGGUUUAAAA